CCUACGGGUGGCAGCAGUGGGGAAUAUUGGACAAUGGGCGAAAGCCUGAUCCAGCCAUGCCGCGUGUGUGAAGAAGGCCUUCGGGUUGUAAAGCACUUUCAGUGGGGAAGAAAGCCUUGGGGCUAAUACCCUCGAGGAAGGACAUCACCCACAGAAGAAGCACCGGCUAACCCCGUGCCAGCAGCCGCGGUAAUACGGAGGGUGCGAGCGUUAAUCGGAAUUACUGGGCGUAAAGCGCGCGUAGGCGGUCUGAUAAGCCGGUUGUGAAAGCCCCGGGCUCAACCUGGGAACGGCAUCCGGAACUGUCAGGCUAGAGUGCAGGAGAGGAAGGUAGAAUUCCCGGUGUAGCGGUGAAAUGCGUAGAGAUCGGGAGGAAUACCAGUGGCGAAGGCGGCCUUCUGGACUGACACUGACGCUGAGGUGCGAAAGCGUGGGUAGCAAACAGGAUUAGAUACCCGUGUAGUC
rnacentral:rRNA from 1 species